rnacentral:lncRNA from 1 species
CUAUCCUUUCCCUCGAUACUGGCAAUGACGCAAAUCGUGCAUACUGCCCCAAAUUAUGGAGUGCUCGGGGCUUGCUGACGGACCAUGACGGGAAAGAAUUUGUCCUAGACGCCAAUUGUUUUUCUAUUGAAGGUUAUAUUCAAGGGUAUAUGCAUGUGCAUCAGUUCAUUUCCUUAGUUUUGAAUUGUGCCUUGAAGCCUCUUUCUCGCUUGCAACGCUACAACACGUCGGUUGAUUGGAGGCGAUACCAAAUCAGGGCCCAUGGGCGAUACCAAAUCAGGGCCGGCCCUCACGUUUUAGGGGUCUAAGGAAACACUAGAAUCGGGCCCCUUAAUGUAAUCAUCAAAAUAAUGACAUAUAUUCUAUAUACUAAAAACACUUCAGAUUUUUCUUUUUAGAAUAGGAAGAAGAUCUCCGGCCUCUGCAUAUGGGCGAUGCAUGCAACUACUUUAUUAAUUAUUUAUAAAGACCUUAUAAAGUAGUACAUGAGUAAAUCUAAAG